UUUAGUUGAAUAUACUAGUAUGAAUUAUAUUUCUUUUUGAAAAAUACCAGUAUGAAUUAUGAUAGCGGAAAAGAAGGGUUUUUGCUUACCAUGAAGCAAAGUAAGGGAAACAUGCAAGUUUGUAGGACAUAAUUAACAUGCAUGGCUCGUUAGAAAAAGUUAAUUGAUGGAGAAAACAGGAAGAGCAAAAAUAGACGAAGUCGGUUCACUAUUACCAAGGCUUCAUGAAGGCUGAUGAAAGCUCAUAUAGUUGUUAGCAAUCCAAUCGUUAUUUUAAUAGACAAGUGUUGUUUGAAAAACAAGAAUCUUGCUUUAUAACUAGAACGAUCUUUGUUUCUAUUUUGAGUAAGUGCUACACCGAGAACAUUUGACAAUUGUUUAUGUUUUUUCUGCUUUGUAUGCAGACUGCCCAGAUGUGCAGUUUCACUGUCUCGUCAUUUAUGUCAUGAUUGUACGUGUUGCUUUAAUCAUCAAUCUAGAGAUUGAUCUUGCU